rnacentral:misc_RNA from 1 species
GGCCUCAACUAUGGUAGGCAACAAAGUUUCAACAUCUAACCCCAAAACUACAAUGCAAAACAUAAAAUGGUUAACACCUCAGAAGAUCUUAACCCGCAGGACAAUGAGAAAGUUAAGCAGCAACUGGCUGCUUCUUCAGUUUCGCAAGCUCUUGCCUGAUUGCACCACCUCUCUUGAUCCUUGCCAACAUGACCUUGAACCGGUCAAAGUCAUUCAGAGAAGCUCGCCUCUUCUGGACAAUCAACUUCCUUCCCCAUGAGCUGUUCUCCCACUUGUUCUUGACAUCUGCAGCUUCCAUUGCAGCAAUCAGAGACUUCUUUUUUGGGAUUCGAGGGAUGUCGAUCUUAAUGUCAGUGAGGGAGAGCCUCUUGAAAUUCAUUUGCCCUCUUACCAUGUCAGGGGCAUCGACCAAAGCCCGAUUUUGAUCGAGAACGUCGACGAUGACGACGAGCCUGCCGUAAUCCUUCCCAUAGUUCACCAGGGCGACCCUCCCGAUCUCGACGUACCUCUUGAAAGGCAUGGCUGUUGGAGGUCCGCGACGGAACUAGGGUUUCG